UACAAAGGUGUACUAAAUCAAUAAUAUUUAGUGCAUCAAUAUUUGGCGCAUCAAGAAACUAAAAACAGGAAAAAGGAGAUGCUUAGCAGCUGAAAUCCUACAUCAGUGAAAAAUAAGAUAGCAUUUCAUCUGAAGGUUCAUCUGACGUUGAGUCUGGGUAUGAACCUCUGACCACUGUGAAACCUCCUGCUUUCCGUCUUGCUGGUCCUGCUUUCAUCCCGGAUCAUCUUAACCCUGCUGAUCCAACCUUUCACUCUUGCCUUGAAGGCCUCAUAGAUAUGCUGCAUGUCAUGGAGCGUCAUGCACGGGUCAAACAAGAGGAAUCAACCAGCAGUUCCUGGGAGAUGAUAGAGGAGGAGGAGGUUGAUGGUGAGGAAGAAGAUGAGGAAGAGAUUCCUAAUCCUGCUGACCAUCUCAGUGCUCCUGCUUUCCCUUUCUUGCCUGCCUCGUCUGACUUUCCUUUGGACCUUGCAGUCAUCACUCCUUUCCUUGAUCAACUGAAUGCCAUGCACAGGCAUUUUUACUCCCGAUCAGAUGAGGACUCUUCCUCUUCCUUUGACAUGUCAAAUAAGGAGUCCACAUACCUUUUGGAGAAUAUGGAAUCCUCCAGUGUCUCUGAAGAGUAUGAGGACCAGGUAUCUUCCUCAUCUAGACCCUAGCAGCUCUAGGAGACGGGAGGGAAGACUGCGCUGAUGAGGUAGAUGGGCCUGUUUCCAUGAGGCCCAGGUUGUUUGAUGAGAGCGCCGCAGACUGACUCCUAAAGUGAAAGGCUGAUGGUUUUCACAGGAUCAUCAAACCACAUCUGCCAUCAGGAUAGAUGCAGCGACUUCACAUCUUGCAGGAUCAUUGAUUUUCGAGGUUGCCCUUGCGACUGGCAGGUCUAGUGACACCUCAGGUAGUGUCUUGCACCUGGACUUAAUUUACUGCAGGGAUAGUAAAGAGACCUUUUUGUAAAUCCUGAGGACUUGCCUUUGCGCCUGGCUGGGCAAGCAAAGCCCCAGGUGGACUUUGCAUCUGGCAGGGCUGUCACAUCCCUGGUAGCGUCUUGCACUUAUUCUAUAUCUCAAAAACUGUAUGUUAGUAAUCAUUAUCCUGUGUUUUUAUUUACCUGAGCUGCUCCUCCUCACUGUAAAGUCAGUAUGCACCCCUGAUCCAGAACAGAGUGUAAUGAGAUGUUGUCUUAACCAGCUACAUACCCGUGUGUUUAGAUAAGAACACUUAUUCUGUAUCUUAAAGAUUAUUUGACUGUCCCACUGACCAUUGUUUGUCUUUCUUCCUCUCUCCCCACCACCUGAGCCAUCCCUGAUGUUAAACGUGUAUUAGUAAAAAAGAGCAGCUGCUGGUCACUGAGUUUGAAAACAGCAGGUUAUGAUGUGAGGACAGCGAGUGCAGGACGUCAAUGGCUUCCUUGAUGACAAAGAAGAAACGCUCACAUCUGACCUGCAGGAGAAUCUGGAGAGUAGACAGAGGUCGCCUUCUGUCAGUGGGAUUCCAUGGAGUAUAGACGUCAACCAAACCACACAAAUUCCUGUGUGACACCAAACUUUCUCACCUCAGUUGAUUUUGUUUUACGUUCAAUAAAAAGCUCAGGAGUU